UUGUUCUAAACAUGAUGCAAGAUAAGGUGUUGGGGUGUUGAGGUGUUUACCUUGGUUUGGUGAUUUCCUUUUUGCUUGUUGGCUGCCCUCCUUGCUGUUGUUGGAAGGAGAUUCCUAAACCUUAAGCUCACAAUAGCCUUUCUUGCUCCUUCUCACUCUCAACUUACCACUCUAAUGCUAGAGAAUUUCGAAAUAUGAGGAAAGAGUAGUGUUGUGGUAUGUGGUGUGGCUUAUAUAGGCAGAGAUGUGUACUCGUGUAGCCUUAAUUGGGGCUGUUGUAAUUCUUUGUUAUUUUCCUGCAUCAAAUCUCCCUUUUCUUUGAUUCUUGCAGUAGCUUUAACAGAAUUUGGUGGUAUACUAAGGAGGUGUUGCCAUAUGGUGUGAAGGAUUAAAGAAUUUGACUUGCCCUCUUUGGUGAAUUUUUGGUCUCCUAUUAUCAAAGAGGAAGAAACAAUUUUGGCUGCCACUUAGUUGCCUCGGAGAGUGGGCUCGCUGCCCUGGGCCCGGUGGCCGAUCAGAUACGGGCCGCGACUUUCGGCCCGGAAGAAGAGGCCCGAUGCCAUUUGUUCCAUGCAUAUUUUAUUUUUUUUAGUUGUUCAUUUUAUUGCCUAUGUAACGCUAUUCGAAAAUUCAUGAUAUUCUACAAUGUAAAUUUCCAAUUUCUUAGUUCAA